rnacentral:lncRNA from 1 species
AGGGCAUAAUAGAACACUUCUAUCAGCUGGCAGGAUUGUGAACACUUUGAUGCCAUAAAAGAACAGUUGUAAAGGUUAAUAGAACACUUUUAAUAGGUUUAUGGUUAUUAACACUGUUUUAGAAUUUAGAAUACUAUGAUGUCAUAAUAGAACAGUUGUAAAGGUUAAUAGGACACUCUUAAUAGCUUUAUGGUUGUAAACACUGUUUUAGAAUUUAGAAUACUAUGAUGCCAUAAUAGAACAGUUGUAAAGGUUAAU